rnacentral:rRNA from 1 species
UGGGGAAUCUUCGGCAAUGGACGAAAGUCUGACCGAGCAACGCCGCGUGAGUGAAGAAGGUUUUCGGAUCGUAAAACUCUGUUGUUAGAGAAGAACAAGGACGUUAGUAACUGAACGUCCCCUGACGGUAUCUAACCAGAAAGCCACGGCUAACUACGUGCCAGCAGCCGCGGUAAUACGUAGGUGGCAAGCGUUGUCCGGAUUUAUUGGGCGUAAAGCGAGCGCAGGCGGUUUCUUAAGUCUGAUGUGAAAGCCCCCGGCUCAACCGGGGAGGGUCAUUGGAAACUGGGGGACGUGAGUGCAGAAGAGGGGAGUGGAGUUCCAUGUGUAGCGGUGAAAUGCGUAGAUAUAUGGGGGCACACCAGUGGCGAAGGCGGCUCUCUGGUCUGUAGCUGACGCUGAGGCUCGAAAGCGGGGGGAGCAAACAGG